rnacentral:tRNA from 1 species
GGGAUUGUGGCUUAAUGGUAGAGCGCUUGCCUAGCAUGUGUGAAGCACUGGGUUCAAUUCUCAGCACCG